rnacentral:rRNA from 2 species
UGAAGGAACGUUGAAGACGACGACGUUGAUAGGCCGGGUGUGUAAGCGCAGCGAUGCGUUGAGCUAACCGGUACUAAUGAACCGUGAGGCUUAACCUUACAACGCCGAAGGUGUUU